CCAAAUAAUAUAUUAACAUUAUGACACGAUUUAUAUGAAUUAUGCUCUCAUUUUACCAAUCCCGACAGUAGCUUUAGCAAAUAUUUAAUAACUAUAUAAAUGUCUUCAAGAGGGUCAACAAUUUAACUAAAUCAUGGCAAAAAUUUAGGACCAAAACCACAUUAAUUAGAGCAUCUCAAGUGCACAAGAAAAUAAUGCAACUCAAAUUACUAUGUCACGACCCAAAUCGAGUCGUGAGUGGCACCCAAACUUAACUACCUAGGUAGGCGAACCAAGGAA
rnacentral:misc_RNA from 1 species